UACGAAGGGGGCAAGCGUUGUCCGGAAUUAUUGGGCGUAAAGAGCUCGUAGGCGGCUUGUCACGUCGGAUGUGAAAGCCCGGGGCUUAACCCCGGGUCUGCAUUCGAUACGGGCUAGCUAGAGUGUGGUAGGGGAGAUCGGAAUUCCUGGUGUAGCGGUGAAAUGCGCAGAUAUCAGGAGGAACACCGGUGGCGAAGGCGGAUCUCUGGGCCAUUACUGACGCUGAGGAGCGAAAGCGUGGGGAGCGAACAGG
rnacentral:rRNA from 1 species